rnacentral:rRNA from 1 species
GGCGAGUGAAGCGGCAAAAGCUCAAAUUUGAAAUCUAGCACCUUCGGUGUUCGAGUUGUAAUUUGAAGAUGGUAACCUUGGGUUUGGCUCUUGUCUAUGUUCCUUGGAACAGGACGUCAUAGAGGGUGAGAAUCCCGUCUGAUGAGAUGCCCAUUCCUAUGUAAGGUGCUAUCGAAGAGUCGAGUUGUUUGGGAAUGCAGCUCUAAGUGGGUGGUAAAUUCCAUCUAAAGCUAAAUAUUGGCGAGAGACCGAUAGCGAACAAGUACAGUGAUGGAAAGAUGAAAAGAACUUUGAAAAGAGAGUGAAAAAGUACGUGAAAUUGUUGAAAGGGAAGGGCAUUAGAUCAGACUUGGUGUUUUACGAUUAUCUUCUCUUCUUGAGUUGUGCACUCGUAUUUCACUGGGCCAGCAUCGAUUCGGAUGGCAAGAUAAUGGCAGUUGAAUGUGGCUUCACUUCGGUGGAGUGUUAUAGCUUCUGCUGAUAUUGCCUGUCUGGAUCGAGGGCUGCGUCUUUUGACUAGGAUGCUGGCGUAAUGAUCUAAUGCCGCCCGUCUA